rnacentral:misc_RNA from 1 species
GAUGAAGAACGCAGCGAAAUGCGAUAAGUAGUGUGAAUUGCAGAAUUCAGUGAAUCAUCGAAUCUUUGAACGCACAUUGCGCCCUUUGGUAUUCCUUAGGGCAUGCCUGUUCGAGCGUCAUUUAAACCUUCAAGCUAAGCUUGGUGUUGGGUGACUGUCCGCUUCACGGCGGACUCGCCUCAAAAUUAUUGGCGGCCGGUACAUUGGCUUCGAGCGCAGCAGAAACGCGAACUCGGGCCCGUUGUAUUGGCUCCCAGAAGCUAUCUUCACAAUUUUGACCUCGGAUCAGGUAGGGAUACCCGCUGAACUUAAGCAUAUCAAUAAGCGGAGGA